GACAGAGGGUGCAAACGUUGUUCGGAAUUACUGGGCGUAAAGCGCGUGUAGGCGGCUCGGAAAGUCGGGUGUGAAAGCCCUGGGCUCAACCCAGGAAGUGCACUCGAAACUCCCGAGCUCGAGUCCCGGAGAGGAAAGUGGAAUUCUCGGUGUAGAGGUGAAAUUCGUAGAUAUCGAGAGGAACAUCUGUGGCGAAGGCGGCUUUCUGGACGGUGACUGACGCUGAGACGCGAAAGCGUGGGGAGCAAACAGG
rnacentral:rRNA from 1 species